rnacentral:rRNA from 1 species
CACGUAGGCACCAAGCGUUGUCCGGAUUUAUUGGGCGUAAAGAGCUCGUAGGCGGUUGAGUAAGUCGGGUGUGAAAACUCUGGGCUUAACCCAGAGCCGCCACCCGAUACUGCUCUGACUUGAGUUCGGUAGGGGAGCAGGGAAUUCCUAGUGUAGCGGUGAAAUGCGUAGAUAUCCGGAGGAACACCAGUGGCGAAGGCGGCCUUCUGGGAUGAGCCUGACGCUCAGACACGAAAGCUAGGGGAGCGAACGGG